rnacentral:rRNA from 1 species
CAAUAGCGUAUAUUUAAGUUGUUGCAGUUAAAAGCUCGUAGUUGGAUUUCGAAUGUGAACGACCGGUCCGCCGUUGCGGUGUGCACUGGACGUUUGCAUAUUGUUGGCGGGGACGCGCUCAUGACCUUAACUGGGAGGGACGCGGAGUCGGCGCUGUUACUUUGAAAAAUUAGAGUGUUCAAAGCAGGCAACCGAUAUGAAUACAUUAGCAUGGAAUAACGCUAUAGGACUCUGGACAUAUUGUGUUGGUCUUCGGGACCGGAGUAAUGAUUAAGAGGGACAGUUGGGGGCGAUUCGUAUUUCAUUGUCAGAGGUGAAAUUCUUGGAUUUAUGAAAGACAAACUUCUGCGAAAGCAUUUGCCAAGGAUGUUUUCAUUCAUCAAGAACGAAAGUUGGGGGCUCGAAGAUGAUCAGAUACCA